UACGUAGGGGGCUAGCGUUGUCCGGAAUCAUUGGGCGUAAAGCGCGCGUAGGCGGUCAGGUAAGUCCGGUGUGAAAGUCAAAGGCUCAACCUUUGAAUGCCGCUGGAUACUGCUUGACUUGAGUCCGGAAGGGGCGAGUGGAAUUCCUGGUGUAGCGGUGAAAUGCGCAGAUAUCAGGAAGAACACCCGUGGCGAAGGCGGUUCUCUGGGACGGUACUGACGCUGAGACGCGAAAGCGUGGGGAGCGAACAGG
rnacentral:rRNA from 1 species